rnacentral:rRNA from 1 species
UGCUCGAGUGGCGAACGGGUGAGUAACACGUGAGUAACCUGCCCUUGACUUUGGGAUAACUUCAGGAAACUGGGGCUAAUACCGGAUAGGAGCUCCUGCUGCAUGGUGGGGGUUGGAAAGUUUCGGCGGUUGGGGAUGGACUCGCGGCUUAUCAGCUUGUUGGUGGGGUAGUGGCUUACCAAGGCUUUGACGGGUAGCCGGCCUGAGAGGGUGACCUGCCACAUUGGGACUGGGAUACGGCCCAG